CAUCGGCCACCGGUCCAGCCCUUUCUUUUCAAAGAGAGCCUCCUAUCUGUGAGAGAGUGCCCGGCCUCUGGGCCGGAUCUCCCUGCCCGUUGCACCUGGCACCUGGAGACCUAGCAAUAAAACAUGAAAGGCUCAAAGAUGGCAGAGCCCGCCAAUGGAAGGACCCUGAAUGCCUGAGCUCCCACUCAAGGAGAGCUAUCCAGGAGAGCUGCCCGACCAGGAAUCUCCACUGUGGACUUUUGGCCUGGGGACCAUACAGGACCUGCUUAAACUUGAAAAACAGAAUUCUGCUUUCAAAUUGCUCCUGAACCCACAAGACUCUUCCAAGUUCUUUAAAAUCCGUCCAUUCCUGUGCGCCCCCUCCUCAGAGCCUGGACCGUAGUCUUCAGUUACUUGGAGUUUGGUACCUGAAGACUGCCAUCGUCUCCGGGACCCCACUCCUUUCCAGUGUAUUCAGGGCCAAGCCCUGUUGCCUCUCUCUAUGCAGCCUCCACCUGGGGCCCUCUGCCCAACUUUCCUGGCUGCUACCUCUGGGGGUCGAGCUUCCUCUCCUGGUUUGCUGCAGCCACUUCCUCACUGGCCCCUGCCUCCAGCAUCCCCCUCCCACCCGGGGAUCCUGCAGGCUGCGUUCUUUAUAAUCCCUCUGAAGCAUAGCGCUCCCGACUCCUCACAAGUCUGCUGGAAAACUUUCCACGUCUUUGUUGGCCUUGACCCCGA
rnacentral:lncRNA from 1 species